CAAUAACCUCAUCAUCCGAUGAGGAUCUGGUCGAUAGCGAUAGACAGAGUCGCUAAUACCAACUGCGCGGCAGGCCAUUCGUAAACUGACCUGAUAUUGCUUGCGAGCAUAAUCGACAAGCUCGCGCUUAGCCGCUGGCUUU
rnacentral:sRNA from 1 species